UUCCCCUUUCGUGAGUAGUAAACACAAUUAAAACUAAUUUUAGAGAAAUACCACUUAUUCAUCAUAAGAGCUUUGAAAUUAUCCGUAAUGAAGAUUUUAAUCUGGGCAUUGAUAGCCAUUUUGAGACGUAGACUCACUAUGUACGGACAUCUGUGAGCUUUCGCGGGUGUUUACAAUCAUCCUUUUUCAGCAGCAAACCAGUCAAACUUCCGAAAUUGGUUUUUCCAGAACAAAAAUCAACCCAAUUUGAAAGAGUGAUUUCUUCGGUUUUCACGACUCGUAGAUAUGGAUAGGCAGAGACAGACCACCUACCCGAUACUAAGCGGCUACCGGACCCCAUCAACAACGCAAAUUGAUUGAGUGACUGUAUUGAGUUUUUUUUUUUUUUUUUCGGGCCGGAGGCGAACCUCCUACGAGGUCCCCGCGCCUAGGGGGCGCGCGGGGUAUGUGAGACUUAACGAUCUGCAGGUGUUGAGAGCAGAUCGCGGGCCCAAGGAUUUUAGGGCCCACCCACUAAACGACUCCCCUGCACUCUUACACCCGACGUCCGAUCUCCGUCCGGGGUCAGAACCCGUUCAGAGUAGGGGGGUUCCCGCGGUCAACACUACAACCAGACACGCGGCGCCACCCCGAGGACGCCCGACCGACGGGUCGUCGAGGCGAUAGUCGACGACCAACGACGUCGGUCUCCGCGGUACGGCACUGUAUUGAGUAGGGGAAAGUGGGGGAAACGCGAACGCUGGGUAAUGCCGAACUCAAUGAUUCUAAUAUGUUAGAAAGAUAUAUCCUAAUUUUAUUUGCCGCCAUUUCGGAGAUCACGCCACCACUGAUGCCAGUCAAUAACACGGGAGACGCGGACGCACGUACUUAAAAAGGUAUGCAUUUUUCAAUAUUUUGUAUGUUUUAGAUGUAAUUUUUUGGCAAAUUCAAGUUGAUGUAACUUUAUUUCUAUCUACAAUAAUAAUUCAGCUUUUACAUAGUGGAAUAAUCACAUAUCACUCAGCUAAAUGUUAAUGAUGUAGUAGGCAAAAUAAAUUUAACCAAAAUUGUUUUUGACCUUUAAUUAUUUUCGAUUCCGCGGGGUAAAGACGAACACUCCAUGUCGGGCAAUCUCGAACAUUCGCCGUUACCCCACUCCCGUUUGUUAGUACCCCGUUCAACUUUUUUUUAAAUAUUAUUACAGAUGCCUUGUACUUACAAAAGAAAGACCGAACUGAAGUAUAGUUUAGAAGAUCUCAAAAAGGCUAUAGACGAUAUUAAAACCAAAAACUCUCCCUGCGGAAAGCAGCAGAAACAUAUAAUGUUCCAAAAACCACUAAUUUUAACCAUCUAAUGAAAGAAGUGUUAAUACAGCCAUGGUUGGAUGAAACCCUUUAUUUACAGACGAUCAGGAAACGUAAGAAAUCAAGAAGAAGGAAAGAUAGCAAAAAAGGAACCCAAAUAAAAAGACUGAAAUGUAAUGAGAGAACACCUUCAAACAAGAAGUAUGAAAUAUUAUUAAAGAAUUUGAACAAUAUAAAAAAAUACUUCAGUGACUCUAGUUAAAAUACGAAAAAAAAAAGAAAAAGGCGAAAAAGAAAAUAAAGACUACUUUUAUAUUUUUUGUAGAGAUAAAUAUAUUGAUCCUCCCGUUGAAGACUAGAUUGUGUGCUAUGUGUGCAAAAAAUGGGCUCACGAGAGUUGUACUGACGAACAGUCAACAUCGUUGGGUUUUAAAUGUGAUCUAUGUCGUUAAUAAUGUUGGUUCGUAAUCACCCCACUUGGUGUUCGUAUUUACCCGACUAAUGUCGGGCAAAGCCGAACACUAAGGGUUUUGUUUUUCUUUCAUAUUGUUGCAGUUUAUUAAAAAAAUAUAAAUGAUGAUUAGUGAAUAAGUUAGACAGAUAAGUAAACUUUAUAAUAAAAAAAAAUUAAAAAAUCCGUGUUUAAA